rnacentral:rRNA from 1 species
AUUGAACGCUGGCGGCAGGCUUAACACAUGCAAGUCGAGCGGGGUGAUGGUGCUUGCACUAUCACUUAGCGGCGGACGGGUGAGUAAUGCUUAGGAAUCUGCCUAUUAGUGGGGGACAACAUCUCGAAAGGGAUGCUAAUACCGCAUACGUCCUACGGGAGAAAGCAGGGGAUCACUUGUGACCUUGCGCUAAUAGAUGAGUGUAAGUCGGAUUAGCUAGUUGGUGGGGUCAAGGCCUACCAAGGCGACGAUCUGUAGCGGGGCUGAGAGGAUGAUCUGGCACACUGGGACUGAGAAACGGCCCAGACUCCUAAGGGGGGCAGCAGUGGGGAAUUUUGGACAAUGGGGGGAACCCUGAUCCAGCCAUGCCGCGUGUGAGAAGAAGGCCUUAUGGUUGUAAAGCACUUUAAGUGAGGAGGAGGCUCUUUUGGUUAAUACCCAAGAUGAGUGGACGUUACUCGCAGAAUAAGCACCGGCUAACUCUGUGCCAGCCGCCGCCGUAA